CAGUCGCCACGGUAAUACGUAGGGUGCGAGCGUUAAUCGGGAUUACUGGGCGUAAAGCGUGCGCAGGCGGUUUUGUAAGACAGGCGUGAAAUCCCCGGGCUCAACCUGGGAAUGGCGCUUGUGACUGCAAAGCUAGAGUGCGGCAGAGGGGGAUGGAAUUCCGCGUGUAGCAGUGAAAUGCGUAGAUAUGCGGAGGAACACCGAUGGAGAAGGCAAUCCCCUGGGCCUGCACUGACGCUCAUGCACGAAAGCGUGGGGAGCAAACAGGAUUAGAUACCCCGGUAGUCCCUGUCUCUUAUAC
rnacentral:rRNA from 1 species